rnacentral:lncRNA from 1 species
CACCAAGCAUCUUGUGACCCCCACUCCUGCCCACAAGAGAACAACCCCCUUUAACUGUAAUUUUCCACUACCUACCCAAAUCCUAUAAAACUGUCCCACCCCAUCUCUCUCCCUUUGCUGACUCCUUUUUCAGAUUCGCCCACCUACGCCCAGGUGAUUAAAAAGCUUUAUUGCUCACACAAAGACUGUUUGGUGGUCUCUUCACACGGACGCAUGUAACAUUUGGUGCUGAAGACCUGGGACAGGGGGAUUCCUUCAGGAGACUGGUCCCCUGUCCUCGCCCUCACUCCUUGAGGAGAUCCACCUACGACCUUGGGUCCUGAAAUCAGCCCAAGGAACAUCUCACCAAUUUCAAAUCAGGACCCCACUGGAAAUCAGACUGUCCAACUUGCCCAGCAGCCAUUCCUAGAGCCCCUGGAACUCUGGCCCAAGGCUCUCUGACUGACUCCUUCCCAGAUCUUCUCGGCUUAUCAGCUGAGGACUGACGCUGCCCAAUCGCCUCGCAAGCCUCCUGGACCAUCACAGACACUUCAGGGGGCUGGAGCCCUGGGCCAAGGGAGACCUGUGACCCCAGGUGCCGCCGGGAGAACUUCAGCCCAGAGGGGAAAUCAGCUCUCCGUGACCCAGCACCCCUACCCAGCAGCGCAACAGAUCCUGAGAGGAGCUACAGGAUGAUUCUAGAAACAGCGCACUUCAGGAAUCAUGUUGCAGGUGUUGUGCAUUGGAUCCACCACAGUCGGCUGAAACUGACAACUCAAGACAAGUGGACCAGCCAGCAGGACCCAGAUCAUCCAACUCGGCUGAUCCUGAGACGGGACCAAACUGCUGCCGAAGACGACCGCCCUGUUCUGGUCACUCCGGAGGCUAACCAGCCUACGCAUGGCUGAAGUUUGAGGAAACAACAAGCCCUGCUCUAGUCACACACUGAAAGCUGACUAGUCUAUGCACGGCCAAAGCUUGAGGACUCAUCAAGCAAGUAAAUGUAGUUAGAAAUCUUAGAACUAGUAGUUUUCCUUGUAAUAUUAACUGUUUUACUAUUGUUCUGUCACUGUGCUCAACCUCCUCUCCCAAAUAAGGACCUCUUCUGUCCUUACUAGAUAUGAAUAUACUGUACAUUGUUUUACUGUUGUUACCCCACUUAACCAUGCUAGAAGAAACACCCAUAGAAGGGUGUCCCCAUCGUACACAUACUACAUGGUCAGAAAACAGUAUAACCAGGACUCUAUUAUACCAUACUUAUUAUGAGUAUACAGGGACUCACCUAGGAACUUGUACUUACAAUCAGAUCACCUAUUCAAUUUAUGACCCAGGAAAUGGCCAGCUACCUAGGUGGAAGAUAGGUCAUGGAGUUACCGUACUCCUACUUACGUGCUUAAGCGCAUCAUAAGGUUACAGGCAGGGCUUGAGAUCAUCACUAAUAAACAUCAAAUGCAUUAGAUUUACUGACCCAGCAAGCUACAAAAAAUGAGGAAUGCUAUCUAUCAGAACAGAUUAGCUUUAGACUAUCUCCUAGCCCAGGAAGGAGGAGUAUGUGGAAAAUUCAAUCUAACUAAUUGUUGCCUGGAAAUCAAUGACAAUGGAAAGACAUUUAUGGAAAUAACUGCAAGAAUAAGAAAAUUAACCCACGUUCCAGUUCAAACGUAGAAAGGGUGGUCUCCAGAUUCUCUCUUUGGAGGCUGUUUUUCAUUUUUCGGAGGGUUCAAGACUUUAAUAAGAUUGAUUCUGGCCAUACUAGGAAGUUGCCUAAUACUACCUUGUCUCUUACCUCUCCUUGUUAGAAACAUUCAGUCAACUAUAGAGGCAAUAGUAGCUAGGCAAACUACCAGUCAGCUAAUGGCUCUAUGUAAAUGUCAACCUUUGUCUAAAGAAGAAAACUUGUCUCUUCAUGCAAAAUUAAAUAAUAGUGAUGCCUCCUAUUAAAUUUCUUUUAUAAAAGGCAUCAAAGGGGGGAAACUGAGGCAGAAAUUUAAAAAUAAAUAUGCAUUCAUUCACUCCAAGAAAAGUUAACAGGCAAGGCAAGGGUUAAAAAGAAAAGAACAAGUUUUCCUCGGCCUAGCAAGCUCACUUCAAGGACAGUUAUAAGAUAAUGUUGUUUGAGAAGCCAAGUCCAAAGGAAUGGGUUCCAGACAUCCCUCCCCUCUAGAACAAGGUUGAAGGAAAAAAAAAAAAAAAGAAGAAGACAAAUUCCUUUACUGUUACUCCUUUCCCUGGCUUCUUAAGCAUGAUUAUGUUUUACAAAUGUCUGUAUUUAGCCAGUUCUUGAUUUUCUUUUGACACAGCUCCAAGGCCACCAGCUAUGCAAGGCCACAAGUUAUGCACUAUAUGAUUAACUGCUUUUGUUUUACUUUUGUAAGUCCACUUAUAAAAACCCUGCUCUGUCUUUGUUUAAUGCUCAGCUUUUUGGAUUUGAAUCCACUCAGCCGGUGCACACCUUAAAAUAAACAUCCUCCUGUACUCUCAUAUUGGUCUCUCCAUUCCUCAGUUUCCCACAAGAUUACAAGCAUGAGCCACCGCACCGGGCCCAUUUUAACCAUUUUCAAAUGGAGAAUUCAGUGGUAUUAGGUACAUUUAUAUUGUUGUGCAACCAUCACCACUAUCCAUCUACAGAACUCUUUUUAUCUUGUGAAACUAAAACUCUAUACCCAUUAAACACUAACUCCUCACUCCUCCCUUCCCUCAUCACUUGACAGCCAUCCUUCUACUUUAUGUCUCUAUUCAUAGGUAUGAGCUCCCCCAUGCCUGCCCAAAUCACUAAUCUAAAAGGAAAUGUCAAGCUGAGAACUUCUUAGGGCAAACCUGCCUCCCAUUCUAUUCAAAGUUACCCCUCUGCUCAGAGAUAAAUGCAUAUCUCAUUGCCUCCUUUGGAGAAGCUAAUCAGAAACUCAAAAGAAUGCAACCAUUUGUCUCUUUUCUACCUAUGACCUGGAAGCCCCCUCCCUGCUUUGAGCUGUCCCGCCUUUCUGGACCAAACCAAUGUUCAUCUUACAUAUAUUAACUGAUGUCUCAUUUCUCCCUAAAAUGUAUAAAACCAAGCUAUGGUCUGACUACCCUGGGCACAUGACAUCAGGACCUCCUGAGACUGCGCCAUGGGUGCACAUCCUCAACUGUGGCAAAAUAAACUUUAUUUU